GGUCAGUCAGACCAGAGUCUCUCCGACGCGUCCGUAGCCGACGACGUAGACACGAGUGAGACUUUCCCACCAUCGAUGGUCGAAGGUCUCGCCAUCCCCGCCAUUGAUAACGUGGAUGUCAAUAACAUCGCGGCAGCGGAUCCAGCGGCACUUGUAGAAGCACUAGCCGGAGAAACGCAGCCGGACUUGGAUGACCGCCCUGUUAUUCCUGGGAGUGCUGACAGGACAUUGGCCAAUAACGCGAGAACGCUG